GAUGAACGCUGGCGGCGUGCCUAAUACAUGCAAGUCGAGCGAACAGACGAGGAGCUUGCUCCUCUGACGUUAGCGGUGGACGGGUGAGUAACACGUGGAUAACCUACCUAUAAGACUGGGAUAACUUCGGGAAACCGGAGCUAAUACCGGAUAACAUGUUGAACCGCAUGGUUCAACAGUGAAAGACGGUCUUGCUGUCACUUAUAGAUGGAUCCGCGCCGCAUUAGCUAGUUGGUAAGGUAACGGCUUACCAAGGCAACGAUGCGUAGCCGACCUGAGAGGGUGAUCGGCCACACUGGAACUGAGACACGGUCCAGACUCCUACGGGAGGCAGCAGUAGGGAAUCUUCCGCAAUGGGCGAAAGCCUGACGGAGCAACGCCGCGUGAGUGAAGAAGGUCCUCGGAUCGUAAAACUCUGUUAUUAGGGAAGAACAAAUGUGUAAGUAACUAUGCACGUCUUGACGGUACCUAAUCAGAAAGCCACGGCUAACUACGUG
rnacentral:rRNA from 1 species